CCGGACCGUACCAUUAAACCACGCCCAACUCUACGUCAGGCGCCCCGGUUAUACAGAAGUUGCGGGCGUUAUCCGGAUUCAAUGGGUUUGAUGGGUGCGGAGGGGAAGCCGUAAGUUCAACCUGAAAUCUCCCCCCUUAACUUGACAACUGCAGUGGAUACGAUAAGGCUUGAAUUCCGUGGAGGUAAGCGGAAUGUGUAUUGUAGCGGAGAAAUGCCAAGAUAUAACGUAGAACACCAAUUGCGAACGCACCUUGAUACACUGAAACUGACGCUGAGGCAAGAAAUCAAGACCCUGGAACACGAUUAGAUACCCUGGUAGUCCACGCCGUAAACGAUGAUAACUCUACUUUGGCGAUAGACAAUAUGUGUCUUAGCGAAAGCAUUAAGUAUCCCACCUGGGAAGUACGAUCGCAAGGUUGAGACUCAAAGGAAUUGACGGG
rnacentral:rRNA from 1 species